rnacentral:rRNA from 1 species
GAUGAACGCUAGCGGCAGGCCUAAUACAUGCAAGUCGGACGGGAUUCAGGAGCUUGCUUCUGCUGAGAGUGGCGCACGGGUGCGUAACACGUAUGUAACCUACCUUUAUCAGGGGGAUAGCCUCUCGAAAGAGAGAUUAAGCCCGCAUAAAAUCACAGCACAGCAUUGUGUAAUGAUCAAAUAUUUAUAGGAUAAAGAUGGGCAUGCGGAACAUUAGCUAGAUGGCGGGGUAACGGCCCACCAUGGCGACGAUGUUUAGGGGAUCUGAGAGGAUGGCCCCCCACACUGGUACUGAGACACGGACCAGACUCCUACGGGAGGCAGCAGUAAGGAAUAUUGGUCAAUGGGCGGAAGCCUGAACCAGCCAUGCCGCGUGCAGGAAGACGGCCCUACGGAUUGUAAACUGCUUUUAUACGGGAAUAAACCCAGAUACGUGUAUCUGGCUGAAUGUACUGUAAGAAUAAGGAUCGGCUAACUCCGUG